AUUGAGCCUUGAUGUGUAGGAUAGGUGGGAGGCUUUGAAGUGUGGACGCCAGUCUGCAUGGAGCCGACCUUGAAAUACCACCCUUUAAUGUUUGAUGUUCUAACGUGGACCCGUGAUCCGGGUUGCGGACAGUGUCUGGUGGGUAGUUUGACUGGGGCGGUCUCCUCCUAAAGAGUAACGGAGGAGCACGAAGGUUGGCUAAUCCUGGUCGGACAUCAGGAGGUUAGUGCAAUGGCAUAAGCCAGCUUGACUGCGAGCGUGACGGCGCGAGCAGGUGCGAAAGCAGGUCAUAGUGAUCCGGUGGUUCUGAAUGGAAGGGCCAUCGCUCAACGGAUAAAAGGUACUCCGGGGAUAACAGGCUGAUACCGCCCAAGAGUUCAUAUCGACGGCGGUGUUUGGCACCUCGAUGUCGGCUCAUCACAUCCUGGGGCUGAAGUAGGUCCCAAGGGUAUGGCUGUUCGCCAUUUAAAGUGGUACGCGAGCUGGGUUUAGAACGUCGUGAGACAGUUCGGUCCCUAUCUGCCGUGGGCGCUGGAGAACUGAGGGGGGCUGCUCCUAGUACGAGAGGACCGGAGUGGACGCAUCACUGGUGUUCGGGUUGUCAUGCCAAUGGCACUGCCCGGUAGCUAAAUGCGGAAGAGAUAAGUGCUGAAAGCAUCUAAGCACGAAACUUGCCCCGAGAUGAGUUCUCCCUGACUCCUUGAGAGUCCUGAAGGAACGUUGAAGACGACGACGUUGAUAGGCCGGGUGUGUAAGCGCAGCGAUGCGUUGAGCUAACCGGUACUAAUGAACCGUGAG
rnacentral:rRNA from 1 species